AUGCUUAGCCCUAAACCUAAAUAAUUUAACGCAACAAUACUAUUCGCCAGAGUACUACUAGCAACAGCUUAAAACUCAAAGGACUUGGCGGUGCUUCAUACCCCUCUAGAGGAGCCUGUCCUAUAAUCGAUAAACCCCGAUAAACCUCACCAGCUCUUGCCAACUCAGCCUAUAUACCGCCAUCCUCAGCAAACCCUAAAAAGGAACUGCAGUAAGCACAAACAUAAGACAUAAAAACGUUAGGUCAAGGUGUAGCCUAUGAGCUGGGAAGAGAUGGGCUACAUUUUCUUCUUAAAGAACACUUAAAUCUCAUUACGAAAGCUCCCAUGAAAUAAAGAGCAGAAGGUGGAUUUAGUAGUAAACCAAGAAUAAAGAGCUUGAUUGAAUCAGGCCAUGAAGCACGCACACACCGCCCGUCACCCUCCUCAAAUAUAAAGAUACACAUCAAACCUUUACCUAAGUAUCCACAGUAUGAGAGGAGAUAAGUCGUAACAAGGUAAGCGUACUGGAAAGUGCGCUUGGAUACA
rnacentral:rRNA from 1 species